AUUAUCGGUCUUACUAAUAAAAAAUCACUAUACAUGCGUUAUGACAAGGUGAUAGUAAUUCAGUGAAUAGAGCUUGUACAGGGCAUAAACUCCUCUUUGACCAAUAAUCGAUGUGUAUUGGUUGAAUAACAAAACGACCCUUAUUUAUUGUUACCCUGGCAACCCGCCGUGUUUGAUUGACGUUUGAUUUAAUAAUUUUGAUACGACUCAUAAUUCUAAUGUAAGUUGUAUUUAUUUUAUCAACCAAAGCAAUUAUAUACACAUUUACUCAAUAUACUAAUAACAUUUUAUUAUUUGCAGCUAAUAGAAACUCCAAAACCUCAGACAAAGUGGACUAGAAUUUUACAUAAAAAGCCGCGUUCUGCAGUACAAAAGUUAGAAGAGGCAUCUCAAAUAGUGGAAAGUGCCUAACUCCGCAACACGGUAGUGUUCCAGUGUUUCCAGGAAGAGCACGAAACAAAACAAAGGCAGAUGGCUGAAACACAUGAGCUCAAACAGAAGCGACUCGCCGAAGCUCACGAAAAGGCUAGACAGAAGCAUCUUCUAAGGCUCAAAUUGUUACAGCAGCAAUUAAAUAAAUAAUUAUAUACUUAUAAAAAAAAUAAAACCCCCGUUUUAAAUGAAA